rnacentral:lncRNA from 1 species
AUGGUUAGGCAAGAAAUCUGUGACACUAGCCAUCAUGACCAUCUUAAACCAAAGGAAAAAAUGUCCCCAUCUUUGAAAAAUGUUUGUAAAGGAAUUCACAAAUACUAUACCAGGAAGAAGAGAAUAUUCCUGUGAGUUUUAAGCUAUAAUGAGCCUGACCACUCCACAAAGACACUGAUAGCAAAGUAUACCUAACUGGCCUUCAGCCCAAGGAUUUCCAGGCUCUGAGCCCCUUGGUGUUGUAAGAUUUCAUUCUUCUUUUCAUGUGGAAGUGCACAGGAUAGGAUCAAGGGGUGGGUGAGUGGAGGCCUGGUGACAGUCUUAGAACAUAUUUUUAAGGCCACUUUAGGUAUUCUGUUUCAUUGUUGUUGUGUUUUGUUUUUUUGUUUCUUUCUUUCUUUCUAAAUUAUCUUUCAGAUCCAGAGAUGUGGACCAGGAGCAUGUUUUGAAUUGCCUAGAGGCAUUCACUCUCUUUUUGAAACCUGAUUCCAAGAUUUACCAUAACAAUAUAAUAAAAUUGUUUCUAUCCCCUAGGAAGCA